rnacentral:rRNA from 1 species
GACGAACGCUGGCGGCGUGCUUAACACAUGCAAGUCGAACGCUGAAGCUCAGCUUUUGUUGGGUGGAUGAGUGGCGAACGGGUGAGUAACACGUGAGUAACCUGCCCCCUUCUUUGGGAUAACGCCCGGAAACGGGUGCUAAUACUGGAUAUUCACUGGUCUUCGCAUGGGGGUUGGUGGAAAGGGUUUUUCUGGUGGGGGAUGGGCUCGCGGCCUAUCAGCUUGUUGGUGGGGUGAUGGCCUACCAAGGCUUUGACGGGUAUCCGGCCUGAGAGGGUGACCGGUCACAUUGGGACUGAGAUACGGCCCAGACUCCUACGGGAGGCAGCAGUGGGGAAUAAUGCACAAUGGGCGCAAGCCUGAUGCAGCGACGCCGCGUGAGGGAUGGAGGCCUUCGGGUUGUGAACCUCUUUCGCUCAUGGUCAAGCCGCAACAAUGGUUGUGGUGAGGGUAGUGGGUAAAGAAGCGCCGGCUAACUACGUG